AGGUGCGUCGAAUUGUCGAACCGAGGGAAGGCCUAGAUGCUGCUAUGUGUCAAAAUUCGGGAGACCCUCGUUGGGCGUGCUCUCAUCCUGACCGUCGAGGGGCACUAUAUAUAUAGGGUCAUCUGUAUCCAAAACUCCACUUUUCACAGCCCUGUUGCCGAGACUUUGGUCGAGUGGUCCCCCAAUUCCAAGUUCCAGGUAGUUGUGCC
rnacentral:lncRNA from 1 species